UUGGGAAUAGACGGUGAACCGUACGUUGGUGACCAAGACCAAGCUUUUGAAGACCAGCAGCAGGCUCAGGAGAGCUUUGAUCAAGGCAAAUAUAACUGGGGAUAAUCCUUGUUACCUAUACACUUAUAAAUACACAUAUAUAUCAUAUGCAUGUUUCCACCUUGUCGACCUUUGUAAAAUCAUUGAUGUUUGUUAUCCUGGAUUCUU
rnacentral:lncRNA from 1 species